AAUGUAUUCCCUCCGUCCCAAAAUUCUUGUCUUAGAUUUGUCUAAAUACGGAUGUAUCUAAUUAUGUUCUAGUGUUAGAUACAUCCGUAUCUAGACAAAUGUAAGACAAGAAUUUUGGGACGGAGGGAGUAUUAU
rfam:Triticum aestivum genome assembly, contig: Triticum_aestivum_CS42_TGACv1_scaffold_288544_4AL